GUGGGGAAUCUUGCGCAAUGGGCGAAAGCCUGACGCAGCCAUGCCGCGUGAAUGAUGAAGGUCUUAGGAUUGUAAAAUUCUUUCACCGGGGACGAUAAUGACGGUACCCGGAGAAGAAGCUCCGGCUAACUUCGUGCCAGCAGCCGCGGUAAUACGAAGGGGGCUAGCGUUGCUCGGAAUUACUGGGCGUAAAGGGCGCGUAGGCGGACAGCUUAGUCAGAGGUGAAAGCCCAGGGCUCAACCUUGGAAUUGCCUUUGAUACUGGCUGUCUUGAGUUUGGGAGAGGUGAGUGGAACUCCGAGUGUAGAGGUGAAAUUCGUAGAUAUUCGGAAGAACACCAGUGGCGAAGGCGGCCAACUGGACGGGAACUGACGCUGAGGUACGAAAGCGUGGGGAGCAAACAGGAUUAGAUACCCCGGUAGUCC
rnacentral:rRNA from 1 species